rnacentral:rRNA from 1 species
GAUGAACGCUGGCGGCGUGCCUAACACAUGCAAGUCGAGCGCUCAAAACAUGACUUUUGUUGGCUUGCGUUAGUGGCGGACGGGUGAGUAACACGUGGAUAACCUGCCUUUAAGUCUGGGAUAACGUCCGGAAACCGGAGCUAAUACCGGAUAUUAUCUUGAAUCCCCAUGUGCGAUGGUGAAAAAGUGUGUUGCUGUGGCGUAUGGACUGACGCCCGCCGCAUUUGCUAGUGGGUAGGGGAACGGCUUACCAAGGCGCGGAUGCGUAGCCGGCCUGCGAGGGGGAUCGGCCACACUGGAACUGAGACACGGUCCAGACUCCUAAGGGCGGCAGCAGUCGGGAGUCUUGCACAAUGGGCGAUAGCCUGACGGAGGAAGGCCGCGUGAGGGAUGAAGGUCUUAGGAUCGUAAAACGCUGUUAUUAGGGAAGAACGGAUGUGUAGGAACCGAUGGAUGUCUUGACGGUACCUAGUAAGAAAGCCCCGGCUAACUACGUG